AUGGCGGACAGUCAGCAGGAGCGGCGGCGGCAAUUUUUGAUGAUUGCUAUCUUUUGGCGUGUGAUUUUCCUACCUCUAGGUUUGAACAUUGUAAUAGGGAAGCCGAUAAUUAAGGUUGCGCACGAGCUUGCUAGGUUGGCUAGAUUUUCUUCUACUGUUGAUUGGUUUGAGGAGCCUAUGAUUGAGAUUGUACCAUUCCUCACAAACGAUGUAUCUGUUAUUUCGAUUGAAUAA
rnacentral:rRNA from 1 species